GUGGGUGUAGCUCAGGCGGUAGAGCGCUUGACUGUGGAUCAAGUGGUCGUGGGUUCAAAUCCCAUCACCCACCCCA
rnacentral:tRNA from 1 species